AAAAAAAAGAUCUUAAGCAAAACUACAAUUUAGUAGUGUGCAUGGUGAAGUUAAAGAUCUAAUUUAAUGGUUGACAAAAAUAUAAUAUCUAAUUUUUAGUACAUUGGUCUAAUGUCUCUAUCUUUUACAAGAGGUGCAGGGUUCAAGGCUAGCCAACCACAUAAUUUUUUUUGGCUUGUAGCCUCAACAAACCAAGGACCUGGUCUGACUUAUAGUAUGAAUCUGGCAAUUGAUGAGAAAACGAAGAGAAAAGUGGAACACAGUAUUGAACAACAGCCAAAGUUAGCUAAAUUGAAAAUGAUACUUACUAGUUUUAAGCUAUGAAACUAAUGAUUAUAAAAUUAGAAUUAGAGUAUACAAUUUACUUAGAAAAAAAAGAAAAAAAUAUAUAUAUAUCCUUUCGCGAAGCUACCAUGUAUAACUAUCAAAUUUAUAAAAAAACAAAUAAAUACCAAACUGAUAUCUUGAAAACAAAUUGAGAGGUGUGUACUAUCGGGAGAUCUAGAAGAUCGACCUAAUCCAAUGAUUAAUAUUAAGGAUAUACAUCAAUAUAUUAGAAUAUGAAACUUAUCGUUAUCUAUUGUAUACUAUUUUAUAUUAGUUUAAGAAAUUAGGUUGAUUUAUUUUCUAUAUAAACUAUGCACCUUGUAACAUUAUUUUUUUGAUAGUCUAAUAAUAUUUUUCCUAAACACGUUUGUGUGCUUUACUCUCAUCAAUUUGUCAUGUACUCACACACUUCAAUUUUCUCUUUCAAAAUUUCAACAAUUUUGUUUGGGUGUGGAGCCUUCCAAACUUUGUGUUCUUCGCGGGACGUUUUAGAAGUUUCCCACCCGUCCCUUGGCAUCUGCUCGCCGUGACAGAACAGUCAAGAAUCGGUACUCAAUAUGUGCUUCUCUAUUCUCUAUUUCCUCUGAAUCCUUGUGCAGUCACUACAAAAAAAGUCUACAUUGAUAGCACAUUAUUAUAGCACGUUUUACUGAACUGUUAUCGUAGAUGAUUUAAAAAUUUCUGUAUUAUAUAAUAGCAUUAGAUAAACGCUAUGAUAGAGAAAAACUUAAAAUAGCACUUAAUUAAUGCUAUUUUAAGAAUUACGUGAGCGGGAAAAGUAAAAUCACCAUUUCACCAAUACUUAGCGGAAAUUUAGAUUUAAGCGCCAAAAAUAUUAUUUAAGCGGCUUAAUAAAACUACGAAAGACUUAUAAUAGCAUUUUUGUAAUGCUAAGAAAAGCUAUCUGAACCCCUAAACCUUAAACAUGGUUUUAAACCCUAAACACAACCCUUAAAACUAUAAUCUUUUUAUAUUAUAACUUCAAAUCUUAAAAUUAAACUUAAAAUUUAAUCUUCUUGAUCUUAAACUAUAAUUUCCUAACCACAUAUCCUUAAUCUUUAAUCAAUCUCUAUAUCCUAAAUCAUAACUUCAAACAUAAAUUAUACAUUCUGUGUAAACAUACAACUUUUUAAAUGAUGACCAAAAUGAUAAUCUUGAUAUUAUCUAAUAUUUCCAAACUUAAAUAUUAAUUCUUAAAAUAAAUAUCAAUUUAUUAUGUUAAAAAAUAACUUUAAACUUAAAUUCCAAAAUACAAAAUAUAAAUUUUGAAAUAAGAUAUAAGUAAGAAAAAAUAUUUACAAAACAAAUCAUCAAAGAUUGAAGAAAAAAAAAAGACAAUUUAUAAAGAGUAUUUUCUUGCUACGAUUUAGCUACGAAUUUUUUUGUAGGUCUUUAUAAAAUAGCCACGAAAUGCCACGGUUUGUUUUGUACAUGCUUAAAACCCUAAACCCUAAAAUUCUUUUAAAACCUAAACCCUAAAUAUAAACCUUAAAACUCUAUUCUUUUUCAUAAUUUAACUUAAAUCUUAAAUUUAAAUUCAUAAUUUAAUUUCAAAUCAUAAUUUAAACCCCAAAUACUAUAUUCCAACCCCUAAACUAUAAACAUAAACACUAUACCCCAAAUCAUAAAUCUAAACAUAAAAUCUUAUAUUUUAAAAUUUAAAAUAUUAAACUUUACUUUUAGAUCUUAUCUUCAACCCAAAUCCCCUUACUCAAAACUUUAUAUUCCAUAUACACUAAACUUUACUAUACAUACAAUACUCUAAAUAUAAACUUCAAAACUAAAAUUUGAAAAAUUUAACUACAAAUCUUAGACCUAAUAUUCAAAUCUAAUAUUUUCAUACUCUGAUCCAAAAUCUUAAAUCAUAGUCUUGAUAUUAAUCAAAUAUUUUCAGACUUAAACAUCAAUUCUUAAAAUAAAUAUAAACUUAUUAUGUUCAAAAAAGAAACUCUAAACUUAAAUUAUAAACUCGAAAAUACAAAAUUUUAUAUAAGAUAUAACUAAGAAAAUUUACUUAGAAAACAAAUUAUCAAAUAUUUAAGAACAAAACAAAAAUAAAAAUAGAAAAAGAAAGACAAAAUUUCUGGCCAAUCAGAUUCAAAUACAUAGAUCACACUCUUAACCAUUGGAUUAACUUAGAUCUAAAGGUAGAGAUUUAUUCAAUUUAAUUUUUAUUUUUUUCUUCUCUCUCUCUAUUUCUCUCUCCCUCUCUCACGACAGAUCUCAUCUCAUCUCCUUCUCUGCUUUUUUUUUUUUCCGAUUCUCUCUUCUCCACUCUAACCUCUCAUUCUCAUAUCUCAUAUAUCUCUUCUCUCCCAUCUCUCUCAACGCCUCUCUCAUCUCACCACCACCGCGCCUCCUCCUCGUCUCACCACCACCGCGUCUCCUUCUCGU
rnacentral:lncRNA from 1 species